UUUAUGAGAGUUUGAUCCUGGCUCAGGACGAACGCUGGCGGCGUGCCUAAUACAUGCAAGUAGAACGCUGAAGUCUGGUGCUUGCACUAGACGGAUGAGUUGCGAACGGGUGAGUAACGCGUAGGUAACCUGCCUCAUAGCGGGGGAUAACUAUUGGAAACGAUAGCUAAUACCGCAUAACAGCAUUUACCGCAUGGUAGAUGCUUGAAAGGAGCAACUGCUUCACUAUGAGAUGGACCUGCGUUGUAUUAGCUAGUUGGUGGGGUAACGGCUCACCAAGGCAUCGAUACAUAGCCGACCUGAGAGGGUGAUCGGCCACACUGGGACUGAGACACGGCCCAGACUCCUACGGGAGGCAGCAGUAGGGAAUCUUCGGCAAUGGGGGCAACCCUGACCGAGCAACGCCGCGUGAGUGAAGAAGGUUUUCGGAUCGUAAAGCUCUGUUGUAAGAGAAGAACGUGUGUGAGAGUGGAAAGUUCACACAGUGACGGUAUCUUACCAGAAAGGGACGGCUAACUACGUGCCAGCAGCCGCGGUAAUACGUAGGUCCCGAGCGUUGUCCGGAUUUAUUGGGCGUAAAGCGAGCGCAGGCGGUUUGAUAAGUCUGAAGUAAAAGGCUGUGGCUUAACCAUAGUACGCUUUGGAAACUGUCAAACUUGAGUGCAGAAGGGGAGAGUGGAAUUCCAUGUGUAGCGGUGAAAUGCGUAGAUAUAUGGAGG
rnacentral:rRNA from 1 species